GGUAUAGUUCAGUUGGUAGAGUGCUUGUCUGGCAAGCAGAAGGCCCUGGGUUCAAUCCCCAGCACCA
rnacentral:tRNA from 1 species